CCUACGGGAGGCAGCAGUGGGGAAUAUUGCACAAUGGGCGAAACCCUGAUGCAGCGACGUCGCGUGAGUGAAGAAGUAUUUCGGUACGUAAAGCUCUAUCUGUAGGGAAGAAAAUGACGGUACCUGACUAAGAAGCCCCGGCUAACUACGGGCCAGCAGCCGCGGUAAUACGUAGGGGGCAAGCGUUAUCCGGAUUUACUGGGUGUAAAGGGAGCGUAGACGGGAUCGCAAGUCUGGAGUGAAAUCCCAUGGCUUAACCAUGGAACUGCUUUGGAAACCGUGCAGCUAGAGUGCAGGAGAGGUAAGCGGAAUUCGUGGUGUAGCGGUGAAAUGCGUAGAUAUUAGGAAGAACACCGGUGGCGAAGGCAGCUUACUGGACUGUAACUGACGUUGAGGCUCGAAAGCGUGGGGAGCAAACAGGAUUAGAUACCCUUGUAGUC
rnacentral:rRNA from 1 species